UUAUUUAUUGGUACAAAAUUUCACUUUUAAUGAGAAAAAUUUAUGUUUUACCGGUACAUUUUUUAUAAAGUAUGGAACGUUUUCAAUUAUUUAUGGGUAACAUUUCACAUUUUCAUGGAACAUAUGUUCAUUCUUUAUGGAGCGCUUUUUGAUUGUCUAUGGAGCAUUUGCAAUUUGUUAUGGUUGCAAUAACCUUUUGCCAACAGAAACAUAGUGGAAAGUAUUCUAGUUGUUUCCGAAUGGUUUCAACAAUCGCCUACAUAUGGGUGACAAGCACUGGUAGCAGGCCCGGAUUUAAGGCGGGGCAAUGGGGGCAAGUGCCCCGGGCCCCCGGUUAGGGGGGGCCCCAAAGAAUCCCGAAGCAUUAUAUACGAAGCAUUAUUACUACUGCAUUUAUAAAGAACCAUAUAAAAUGCACUUUGAGAGACGCUUAUAUAAUAUGCAGUUUUUUAAUGUUAUCCAGACUAGUUUUGCAUGGUAGUACCCCGCAUAGACAAUUACAAUUUGUAGUAUGUUCCAAACAGUUUGUCUCCUGUUUCUGUUAAUGUUACUGUACCACAAUCAGGUACUUUUCUGUUGAAAACUAUGAAGCUCAUAGCGUUCGACCAUCAGCUACGGUCUAAGUAACGCAUACCAAUUUGUAACAGUUUGUUAUACUGUGCAGAAAUUGUCAAAUAUUAUAGCGACGAAAACUAGUGAAACAUGGUGGGAAUAUGGCCUGGCCAUUUCUCAAAUGGUUUGUGAUUAUAUUUGUGCAACACACCUCUACAUGUGUAUAUCACUGUAUGCCACUUAAAUUGAACAGUUUGCCUAUCUGUUGCACACAUUGGUAUUUGUAAAGCCCGAACUUUUCAGUUGCGGUUUUAUCAGAAAAAAAAACGAAAUCUCUCGUGAAGUCGCUUGUGAGCUGUGUGAAAACCCCAACUAAAAACUUGCUGCGGUGAACGAGCUGAAGUUUCUGGAGCGGUCAGGGAAUUCGUGAACUUUCUCCAACAGCAUGAGUCUCAUUCCUCCUGACUCUGUGUGACUGCGGGGGAUUCCGCAAAUUGUACGAAAUUCGCCCCCAUCCGGAAGAGGACCCAGUAAUCAUCGACGGUGCUACCGGGUCCAGGAUUGCAUCAUUACAUGCCUCGCUAGUCAGGUGAUUCCAGCAGAAUUAUGCGAUGAGGUCGCCGAAAGUGAUGUACUUUGGAAAUAUAGUCGAGAUGAAAUAUUUAUUAAAUAAAAAAAAUCCGGUGAACGCA